CACCAGACUCCUACGGGAGGCAGCAGUGAGGAAUAUUGGUCAAUGGCCGAGAGGCUGAACCAGCCAAGUCGCGUGAGGGAAGAAGGCGCCAGGCGUCGUAAACUUCUUUUGUCGGGGAACAAAGGGCGCCACGCGUGGCGUUGUGAGUGUACCCGAAGAAAAAGCAUCGGCUAACUCCGUGCCAGCAGCCGCGGUAAUGCGGAGGAUGCGAGCGUUAUCCGGAUUUAUUGGGUUUAAAGGGUGCGUAGGCGGUCCGGAAAGCCAGCGGAAAAAGCCCGGGGCUCACCCCGGGCGAGCCGUUGAAACUGUCGGACUAGAGACGGCGAGAAGUACGCGGAAUGCGCGGUGUAGCGGUGAAAUGCAUAGAUAUCGCGCAGAACUCCGAUUGCGAAGGCAGCGUACCGGCGCCGGACUGACGCUGAGGCACGAAAGCGUGGGUAUCGAACAGGAUUAGAUACCCUGGUA
rnacentral:rRNA from 1 species